CCUACGGGUGGCAGCAGUGAGGAAUAUUGGUCAAUGGCCGGAAGGCUGAACCAGCCAUGCCGCGUGAAGGUCAGUGCCCUAUGGGCUUUAAACUUCUUUUGUGCGGGAGCAAUAAUGGUCACGUGUGGCCAGACGAGAGUACCGUACGAAUAAGCAUCGGCUCACUCCGUGCCAGCAGCCGCGGGAAGACGGGGGAUGCAAGCGUUAUCCGGAUUUUUUGGGUUUAAAGGGUGCGUAGGCUGUGAGGUAAGUCAGCGGUGAAAUGCCCCCGCUCAACGGGGUGAAGUGCCAUUGAUACUGCCUUGCUGGAAUGCGGAUGCGGUGGGAGGAAUGUGUGGUGUAGCGGUGAAAUGCAUAGAUAUCACACAGAACACCGAUUGCGAAGGCAUCUCACGAAUCCGCGAUUGACGCUGAUGCACGAAAGCGUGGGUAUCAAACAGGAUUAGAUACCCUAGUAGUC
rnacentral:rRNA from 1 species